GUCGAGCGAGGCGGAGGGGGCAACUCCUCUAGCCGAGCGGCGGACGGGUGAGUAACACGUGGGUAACCUGCCCGGAAGUGGGGAAUACCUCGGGGAAACUCGAGCUAAUGCCGCACGACAUCUCCGGGACGAAAGUCCUGGCGAUCAAAGCGGGGUCGCAAGAUCUCGCGCUACCGGAUGGGCCCGCGCCCGAUUAGCUAGUUGGCGAGGUAAUGGCUCACCAAGGCGACGAUCGGUAGCCGGCCUGAGAGGGUGAUCGGCCACACCGGAACUGAGACACGGUCCGGACUCCUACGGGAGGCAGCAGUGGGGAAUCUUGCGCAAUGGGCGAAAGCCUGACGCAGCAACGCCGCGUGGAGGAUGAAGGCCCUUGGGUUGUAAACUCCUGUCGGCUGGGAAGAAAUCGUGCGGUGCUCAUACCACCGUACGUUGACUGUACCAGCAAAGGAAGCCCCGGCUAACUCUGUGCCAGCAGCCGCGGUAAUACAGAGGGGGCCAGCGUUAUUCGGAAUUAUUGGGCGUAAAGGGCGCGUAGGCGGCCUAGCGUGUCUUUCGUGAAAUCCCUCGGCUUAACUGAGGACGUGCGGAAGAAACUGCAGGGCUUGAGUCCGGGAGAGGGGGGUGGAAUUCCCAGUGUAGCGGUGAAAUGCGUAGAUAUUGGGAGGAACACCGGUGGCGAAGGCGGCCCCCUGGACCGGUACUGACGCUGAGGCGCGAAAGCGUGGGGAGCAAACGGGAUUAGAUACCCCGGUAGUCCACGCCGUAAACGAUGGGCACUUGGUGUCGCGGGUAUCG
rnacentral:rRNA from 1 species